AAGUCGAACGCAGUAGCAAUACUGAGUGGCAAACGGGUGAGUAUAAUGUGGGAAUCUGCCUUUUGGUUUGGAAUAACACGGGGAAACUUGUGCUAAUACCGAAUAAGCCUUUACGGGGAAAGUUUUAACGCCGAAAGAUGAGCCCGCACUUGAUUAGCUAGUUGGUAAGGUAAAAGCUUACCAAGGCAAUGAUCAAUAGCUGUUCUUAGAGGAAGACCAGCCACAUUGGGACUGAGACACGGCCCAGACUCCUACGGGAGGCAGCAGUGGGGAAUCUUGCACAAUGGGGGAAACCCUGAUGCAGCGAUGCCGCGUGAGUGAAGAAGGCCUUUGGGUUGUAAAACUCUUUCGUCGGGGAAGAAAAUGACUGUACCCGAAUAAGAAGGUCCGGCUAACUUCGUGCCAGCAGCCGCGGUAAUACGAAGGGACCUAGCGUAGUUCGGAAUUACUGGGCUUAAAGAGCUCGUAGGUGGUUAAAAAAGUUGAUGGUGAAAUCCCAAGGCUUAACCUUGGAACUGCCAUCAAAACUUUUUAGCUAGAGUGUGAUAGAGGUAAGUGGAAUUUCUAGUGUAGAGGUGAAAUUCGUAGAUAUUAGAAAGAACACCAAAUGCGAAGGCAACUUACUGGGUCACUACUGACACUGAGGAGCGAAAGCAUGGGUAGCGAAGAGGAUUAGAUACCCUCGUAGUCCAUGCCGUAAACGAUGUGUGCUAGACGUUGGAAAUAUAUUUUUCAGUGUCGCAGCGAAAGCAUUAAGCACACCGCCUGGGGAGUACGACCGCAAGGUUAAAACUCAAAUGAAUUGACGGGGACCCGCACAAGCAGUGGAGCAUGUGGUUUAAUUCGAAGAUACGCGCAGAACCUUACCAACACUUGACAUGUUCGUCGCGAG
rnacentral:rRNA from 1 species